rfam:Echinostoma caproni strain Egypt genome assembly, scaffold: ECPE_scaffold0021528
GCACUGCUGACGAGUCCCAAACUGGACGAAACAGCUGUCCAGUGU